UACGUAGGGGGCUAGCGUUGUCCGGAUUUAUUGGGCGUAAAGAGCUCGUAGGCGGUCUGUUGCGUCUGCUGUGAAAACUCAGGGCUUAACCCUGAGCUUGCAGUGGGUGCGGGCAGACUAGAGUGCGGUAGGGGAGACUGGAAUUCCUGGUGUAGCGGUGAAAUGCGCAGAUAUCGGGAAGAACACCCGUGGCGAAGGCGGCUCUCUGGGACGGUACUGACGCUGAGACGCGAAAGCGUGGGGAGCGAACAGG
rnacentral:rRNA from 1 species